CAGUAGCCACGGUAAUACGAAGGGUGCAAGCGUUACUCGGAAUUACUGGGCGUAAAGCGUGCGUAGGUGGUGGUUCAAGUCCGUUGUGAAAGCCCUGGGCUCAACCUGGGAAUUGCAGUGGAUACUGGGUCACUAGAGUGUGGUAGAGGAUAGUGGAAUUUCCGGUGUAGCAGUGAAAUGCGUAGAGAUCGGAAGGAACAUCUGUGGCGAAGGCGACUAUCUGGGCCAACACUGACACUGAGGCACGAAAGCGUGGGGAGCAAACAGGAUUAGAUACCCCCGUAGUCCCUGUCUCUUAUAC
rnacentral:rRNA from 1 species